GGUCGCCGCCCGCAUGCGUCCGCGGACGGCGUGCACUUCUCUCUCAGUAAGACAUCGCGACCCGUUCGACGUCGGCCUAAGCGCCGCCCGGGAGCCCAGCGGCAGCCUCGGCUGCCGCCGGACCGCGGCGGUCGCCGGCCGGCCGUCGGACGGUAGAUAUCGUGAAACGCGCACGCGCUCAGCGCGUCCGGCCCGACGCAAGGCGUCGCCGUAUCCGAAGUCCUGCCACAGCGCGGUCUUCGGUGCGGCGCGCCUGCUUAUCGCAGCCGUGCAGUCUCGGACCGUGCGCGUCUCGGUCGGCGAUGAUUACGUUUCGGGCACUCGCAGGACCCGUCUUGAAACACGGACCAAGGAGUCUAGCAUGUGUGCGAGUCAUUGAGAUUUAUAAAACUGAAAGGCGUAACGAAAGUGAAGGCGCGCGCUAGCCGCGCGCUCGGGGAGGAUGGAGGUCGAUCUCGCGUCGGCCUCCCGCACUCCCGAGGCGUCUCGUUCGCAAUCUGUCGAUGCAGGCGCGCUCAGAGCACAAAUGCUGGGA
rnacentral:rRNA from 1 species